rnacentral:rRNA from 1 species
GACAGAGGGUGCGAGCGUUGUCCGGAAUCACUGGGCGUAAAGGGCGCGUAGGCGGCUCGGUCAGCGUGCGGUGAAAGCCCGGGGCUCAACCCCGGGUCGGCCGUGCGAACUGCUGGGCUGGAGCACUGUAGAGGCAGGUGGAAUUCCGGGUGUAGCGGUGGAAUGCGUAGAGAUCCGGAAGAACACCGGUGGCGAAGGCGGCCUGCUGGGCAGUAGCUGACGCUGAUGCGCGACAGCGUGGGGAGCAAACAGG